rnacentral:rRNA from 1 species
UCGUGAAUCUUCGGCAAUGGGCGAAAGCCUGACCGAGUGACGCCGCGUGGAGGAUGAAGGCCUUCGGGUUGUAAACUCCUUUUACCUGGCAAGAAAGCCGGAAACCCAACACGUUUUCGGUUGACGCAACCAGGAGAAAAAGCCACGGCUAACUCUGUGCCAGCAGCCGCGGUAAUACAGAGGUGGCAAGCGUUGUUCGGAAUCACUGGGCAUAAAGGGCGCGUAGGCGGCGAGGUAAGUCGGGUGUGAAAUCCCUCAGCUCAACUGAGGAACUGCGCCCGAAACUCCCUUGCUAGAGUGCAGGAGAGGAGAGUGGAACUCCUAGUGGAGCGGUGAAAUGCGUAGAGAUUAGGAGGAACGCCGGUGGCGAAAGCGACUCUCUGGCCUGUAACUGACGCUGAGGCGCGAAAGCUAGGGGAGCAAACGGGAUUAGAUACCCGGGUAGUCCCUGAGCGGGCUGGCAAGGCGCAU